UACAGAGGGUGCGAACGGUUGCUCGGAAUUACUGGGCGUAAAGCGCAUGUAGGCGGAUCCAUAAGUCGGGCGUCGAAAUCCCCAGGCUCAACCUGGGAACUCGCGCUCGAAACUGUGGGUCUCGAGUGUCGGAGAGGAUGGCGGAAUUCCUGGUGUAGAGGUGAAAUUCGUAGAUAUCAGGAGGAACACCGGUGGCGAAGGCGGCCAUCGUCGGACGACAACUGACGCAGAGAUGCGAAAGCGUGGGGAG
rnacentral:rRNA from 1 species